rnacentral:tRNA from 2 species
GGAGAUGUGGCUGAGUUGGUGGAGUGUUUGCCUAGCAUGCACGCAGCUCUGGGUUCAACCCCCAGCAUCCCCA